AGAAAUAAAAAGAUUGAUAACUCUAAGAAAUGUAAUUCUGAGGAUCAAAUUGACGUAACUAUAUCUUAUGAUAAUAUUAGCGCAAUAGUAAGCUGUGAUAAUAUGAGUGAAAUUAAUAAUGAGACUUCUAUCUCUACUAAAAGUCAUGAUUAUAGAAAAAAUAUUGAGUCCGCAUUUUCAAUGUUAGAUGAAAAAAGUUCUAAAAACACUGAAACUAGUGUUAUGUCCCCAGAAACUGAUUGCCAGAAGAAAAUGACAGUUUUUACCUCUACUAGAAAUAUUAACGAAACCGAUACCUGUGAUGAUUCAAGUAUGAACGAAAAGAUUGAUAAUUCUAAGGA